UGUUGCGGCCGCUGUGCGCGGGGCACCUUCGGGUGCGCCGGGUUCCUUUAGCCCCGGUCUUCCACACCCGCGCACAGCUGCCACCCUC
rnacentral:antisense_RNA from 1 species